rnacentral:lncRNA from 1 species
AUGGCUUAUAAAUCUAUAGAAAAAAGUGAAUAAGAAAAAAUGAAUUACAAGAAUACAAAAAUGACCAUAGCACAACAACACAAUGGCGGAUUGUAUGAAAACAUAAUUCCUAAUUCAGAGAAGCAAGAAUGACAUUUAAUUUUUAGAGCAUUUUUUAGAGCGAAGUCUGUUUGAAAUGGGGUGCUUUCAUGUCAAAUGUAUAUCAUUAAAAAUGAACUAAACCCGCCACAUUAUGUAUGUAUGUGCCUGUCCCAAGUCAGGAGCCUGUAAUUCAGUAGUUGUCGUUUGUUUACUGUGACAUAUUUGUUUUUCGUUCAUUUUUUUAAAAUAAAUAGAUAAGGCCGUUAGUUUUCUCGUUUGAAUUGUUUUACAUUGUCAUCUCGGGGCCUUUUAUAGCUGAUUAUGCGGUAUGGGUUUUGCUCAUUGUUGAAGGCUGUACCGUGACCUAUAGUUGUUAAUUUCUGUGUCAUUUUGGUCUAUUGUGGAGAGUUGUCUCAUUGGCAAUCAUACCAUAUCUUCUUCUUUUUUUUUUUAUAUAAACAGUAAUGUAAAAAACCUAUACAAAGACAAAUAAAUAGAACACUAUCACAUUAAUUU